UACGUAGGGUCCAAGCGCUAUCCGGAAUCACUGGGCGUAAAGCGUGCGUAGGUGGUCGCUCGCGUGCAAUGCGAAAUCCUGUGGCUCAACCAUAUGGACUGUGUUGCAUACGGGGUGACUAGAGGACGGCAGAGGCAAGUGGAAUUAGCGGUGUAGCAGUGAAAUGCGUAGAUAUCGCUAGGAACACCAAUGGCGAAGGCAGCUUGCUGGGCCGCCCCUGACACUGAGGCACGAAAGCGUGGGGAGCGAACAGG
rnacentral:rRNA from 1 species